rnacentral:rRNA from 1 species
UACGGAGGGGGCUAGCGUUGUUCGGAAUUACUGGGCGUAAAGCGCACGUAGGCGGAUCUUUAAGUCAGGGGUGAAAUCCUGGAGCUCAACUCCAGAACUGCCUUUGAUACUGGGGAUCUCGAGUCCGGAAGAGGUGAGUGGAACUCCGAGUGUAGAGGUGAAAUUCGUAGAUAUUCGGAAGAACACCGAUGGCGAAGGCAACCUCCUGGGCCUGUUCUGACGCUGAGGCACGAAAGCGUGGGUAGCAAACAGG